UGGGAAUUUUAUUUCGCUCGUCGCUGUAAACGUAGGACUGCUCGGACGAUUGAAUAUUUGGAGGGAGGUCCUGGCCAGGCGCUUGUAAGCCCGGCGGUGUUUGCGGUCUCCGCCAAUUACGCUCUGCUGUAUUUAGCGGCUCUUGGAUGCUCUGUAUGGAACUGCUCCCUGAUCUCCCGCACCUCGCGCUCCGAGCCGGAGACGCGGUAGAGGCCCACUUCCGAGAGCCCCCGGCGCUCCACUUCCUGAAUGCAGUGCACUACGACAGCCGGAACCAUGGGUGCAGUGGGGGGCACGUGGUCUGCAACGACAGUUCCCUUCCACGUGUGAGUUCCACCCUGGGUGGGCGUCUGGGACACCUGGACGCACGGGAGGGGAACCUGGGGAAAGGAGAGACGUCCUUCGUGAGAUCAAGCGGGUGCAGCGGUUAACAGUACACCAAAACUGCUUUGUUCAGAUUAUCGCUUUCAUCUAAGUUCAACAUGAUCCCAAUAAAAAUGCAUGCAUUUUGAA